rnacentral:rRNA from 1 species
UACGUAGGGUGCAAGCGUUGUCCGGAAUCAUUGGGCGUAAAGAGCGUGUAGGCGGCCCGAUAAGUCCGCUGUGAAAGUCUAGGGCUCAACCCUGGGAUGCCGGUGGAUACUGUCGGGCUCGAGUCCGGAAGAGGAGUGUGGAAUUCCUGGUGUAGCGGUGAAAUGCGCAGAUAUCAGGAGGAACACCAAUGGCGAAGGCAGCACUCUGGGACGUGACUGACGCUGAGACGCGAAAGCGUGGGGAGCAAACAGG